UACAGAGGGGGCAAGCGUUGUUCGGAAUUACUGGGCGUAAAGGGCGCGUAGGCGGCCUGCUAAGUCGAACGUGAAAUCCCCGGGCUCAACCCGGGAACUGCGUCCGAUACUGGUUGGCUUGAAUCCGGGAGAGGGAUGCGGAAUUCCAGGUGUAGCGGUGAAAUGCGUAGAUAUCAGGAAGAACACCGGUGGCGAAGGCGGCUCGCUGGGCCAGUUCUGACACUCAUACGCGAAAGCGUGGGGAGCAAACAGG
rnacentral:rRNA from 1 species